GACAUCUAGUAAUGAGUUUUGAAUCUUAAGUUUGUCACAUUGUCAGUCAGUCACAGACAGACAUGACAUUACACAUUACACGUCGUCAUAAGUUACUUAAAUAAGUUUAACAGCGGAGAUCGGAUAACAAGUCAACUGUUUUUAAGUAAUUUCAGCUGAAGUUUUCAUGUAGGCCUACCUGGCCAACUAGGUGCUCGUGACAAUAGAAAUGAAAUGGUGUAAUCAAUAAUGCAUGCCCACAACCUUAUGUCUUCUGAAGCAAAAUAAUUUCUGUUGCAAGUUGUAAAUUUUCAAGAUAUUGAUGCCUUCGCCAGAGUCGAUUCUUUGUUGCUAUCAGUUUUGCAGACAACAGCAAGAAAAUGCUGCUACUCAAGAUUUUAUGGUGACCAAAACUUUGUUCUAAUUUAGGACAAUGUAAGGUUGAUUGUUGAUAGAUUUGAGGGUUAUCCCUCUUUGCCACUGUUAUAGUUGUUUGGAAACUGACAAGAGAUUGCUGGAAUUGAAGACUGAUAAUUUGUGUAGAUUUAGAUGAAUUAAAAGUGCAUACCUGG